GACGAACGCUGGCGGCGUGCUUAACACAUGCAAGUCGAACGGAAAGGCCCCUUUGUGGGUACUCGAGUGGCGAACGGGUGAGUAACACGUGAGUAACCUGCCCUUGACUUCGGGAUAACUUCAGGUAACUGGGGCUAAUGCCGGAUAGGAAUCCUUGCUGCAUGGUGGGGGUUGGAAAGCUUCGGCGGGUUUGGAUGGACUCGCGGCUUAUCAGCUUGUUGGUGGGGUAGUGGCUUACCAAGGCUUUGACGGGUAGCCGGCCUGAGAGGGCGACCGGCCACAUUGGGACUGAGAUACGGCCCAGACUCCUACGGGAGGCAGCAGUGGGGAAUAUUGAACAAUGGGCGGAAGCCUGAUGCAGCAACGCCGCGUGCGGGAUGACGGCCUUCGGGUUGUAAACCGCUUUCAGCAGGGGCGAAGCUUGUGGUGACGGUACCUGCAGAAGAAGCACCGGCUAACUACGUG
rnacentral:rRNA from 1 species